AGCGCGACAGAGUCGGCGCGCUCGGAGCUCUCGCUUCCGCGGAGGCUGCGUCUGGUUCUCGGCGAAGGGCCUAAGAGGUCCAGUCGGCGGAACCCACCAGUCUCUGGGCCCAGAGCCCCCAGAGCCCCACGGCGCCCAGACUGUUUUGCCAACCAUGGCAUCUGGAGAUGACAGUCCUGUCUUUGAAGAUGCCAAAAGCCCUCCUUAAAGCCUGGAAAAUAUGACAGAUCUUGUAGCUGUUUGGAAAGUUGCUUUAAGUGAUCGAGUCCAUAAAAUUGAAUUUGAACAUGGGACUGCAUCAGGCAAAUGAGUGGUGUAUGUAAAUGGGAAGAAAGUGCUAAGAAAAGAAUGGAUGUUCAGCUUGAUAGACAAAGAAACCUUCUGCAUUGGAGCCUCAAAGAUAAAAGCAACCAUAAAUAUUAAACCUUGCUGUGCUUCUAUUUAUGAUUAUACUCUGGAAAUUAAUGGGAAAGUCUCAAGGAGUAUAUAGAGCAGGAAAAAAAUCCACCAAUACUUGGAUAUUACAUUUGAAUAGUAAAGACUUUAGAGUUGUGUUAGGUAAGUGAAAGCCAUUUCUUCAGAAUUUAUUGGCUUUUUAUGAUGGCUAUUUACUUUAGUUCCUGUAACUCUCCAGACCUUUUAUGGGAGCUUUGAAUAGGAGAGUGUUACAUGCAGGUGUAUUUCUCAUGUGUCCUCUGGGAAUGAAGUAUUUGUUGAAUUGAUUUAUUUAUAUGGAAAAUGUGAGAGCCAGAUUUUAUAGUGGUCGAUUUGAAAAUUAUAAACUUGUGUUAGAAAAAUAAAUAUUGAUGUAGACAUUUAAUUUGUCAUUAUUUGAUAUUUCUCUUCAAAGAAUGUCUAAAGGCAGU